AGUCCUAUGGUCUAGCGGUUAAGAUUUCGCUCUUAUACCUCUCGUCAAAGGUCAUGGGUAUGCGACGGCCCGGGUUCGAUCCCCGGUAGGACUA